AUUGAACGCUGGCGGCAGGCCUAACACAUGCAAGUCGAGCGCGCGGCGGACGGGUGAGUAUUGUAUGGGGACUGCCCGAUAGAGGGGGAUCACUACUGGAAACGCUGGCUAAUACAGCAUACUGUAUGAUAAUCCAUAUGGGAUUAGCGAGUAGGUAAGGUAAUGGCUGACCUAGGCGACGAUCCAUAGCUGGUCUGAGAGGAUGUUCAGCCACACUGGGACUGAGACACGGUCCAGACUCCUACGGAGGCAGCAGUGGGGAAUAUUGCACAAUGGGCGCAAGCCUGAUGCAGCCAUGCCGCGUGUAUGAAGAAGGCCCUAGGGUUGUAAAGUACUUUCAGUGGGGAGGCGUUACCGACAGAAGAAGCACCGGCUAACUCCGUGCCAGCAGCCGCGGUAAUUC
rnacentral:rRNA from 1 species